rnacentral:rRNA from 1 species
UGGGGAAUUUUGGACAAUGGGCGAAAGCCUGAUCCAGCCAUGCCGCGUGCAGGAUGAAGGCCUUCGGGUUGUAAACUGCUUUUGUACGGAACGAAAAGACUCUGGUUAAUACCUGGGGGUCCAUGACGGUACCGUAAGAAUAAGCACCGGCUAACUACGUGCCAGCAGCCGCGGUAAUACGUAGGGUGCAAGCGUUAAUCGGAAUUACUGGGCGUAAAGCGUGCGCAGGCGGUUAUAUAAGACAGAUGUGAAAUCCCCGGGGCUCAACCUGGGAACUGCAUUUGUGACUGUAUAGCUAGAGUACGGCAGAGGGGGGAUGGAAUUCCGCGUGUAGCAGUGAAAUGCGUAGAUAUGCGGAGGAACACCGAUGGCGAAGGCAAUCCCCUGGGCCUGUACUGACGCUCAUGCACGAAAGCGUGGGGAGCAAACAGGAUUAGAUACCCUGGUAGUCCACGCCCUAAACGAUGUCAACUGGUUGUUGGGUCUUCACUGACUCAGUAACGAAGCUAACGCGUGAAGUUGACCGCCUGGGGAGU